rnacentral:lncRNA from 1 species
UUUUCACACUGUCAUGGCCAUGAACUUUAGGACUCUGUCUUAUGAUGUACAUAGGACUACUCUCCAUCUAUCGAGGUCAAUAGAUCUCAUCUUGGUGCACAUCCUAUUCCUACAGUGAGUCUACUAUAGCCAAUUACACUUCAAGGCUCCAUAUGGCUAGGAGAUCGAAUUAUGGUGUAGUCAAACUACAACAACCUCACUAUAAAUAAUCGAGACACCA